AUAAGAGUACUGGGUGUACCUACGAUUAGACCCAGGCAUGUGGUAGGAAAGUUGUGUUUAUCUGUUAAACGAUCUCCAGCCAUAUGCCAGCCACCAUUCUAGGAUCUGAGAAGACAGAUUGAUAAAGAGCAUUUGUGGCCUCCAAAAAUACAUGGCUCCAGUACAUUAAGAGUAGACUGGAGUAGGUGACAUUAAGGCUUUAGAAGUGGAGGCAGGAGGAUCAGUAGUUCAAGGGCAUCCUCAGUUACAUAGGUCUAGGCCAGCCUGGGCUACAUGAGGUCUGGUUUCAAUAAAUAAAUAAAAAAGGAGUAGACUCUGAGAUAGGCCUGGGGACAUAGGCCUGUAGUUCUAGUACUGGGGGCUGAGGUAGGAGGAUCACAGAUUCAAGAUAUAAUGAGGUCUGGGCUCUUCUGGGCUAUAGAGUGAGACUUUGCCUCAGAAAGAGCAAGAACGAAGUCAGUAGGGCUGAACUUAGGACUCCGUGUCUGAUGCCAGGCCUGUCCUGCACGAGGCCAAGUUCAAUCUCUAGCACUGACAAAAAGCAAAUGGGCUGUAGUUCCACAAAUAAUGCUUUGAAUACCAGCUUUCUGAUUUUCUAACUUUGUGGUCUUUUGCAGGGUGUUUUUUGUUUGGUUUUGGUUUUGAUUUUUCAAGACAGGAUUUUUCUGUGUAGCCCUGGCUGUCCUAGAACUCACUCUGUAGAAAAUUUAACAUUUCUUGCUUUUUUUUUUUUUUUUUUUGUUUUUCGAAAUAGGGUUUCUCUGUGUAGUUUUUGGUGCCUGUCCUGGAUCUUGCUCUGUAGCCCAGGCUGGCCUUGAACUCAGAGCCAGGCACCUGGCUCUGCCUCCCGAGUGCUGGGAUUAAAGGCGUGGGCCACUACUGCCCGGCAACAUUUGCUAAUUUUAUUAUUAUUACUAUUAUUGAUUUUUUUUUUUUUGAGACAGUAUUUCUCUGUGUAGCCCUGGCUGGCCUGGAACUUGCUCUGUAGACCAGGCUGUCCUCAAACUCAGAGAUCUGCCUGCCUCUGGGAUUAAAGGCCUGUGCUACUUUGCAGGGUUUUUAAGCACACUUAGCCUGUUGUCUGUAAAAUAGGGAAAACAAUACCUCACGUAAUUGUGAGAUUCAAAACAACAUAUGUGUUUAGUAUAGGUUCUGGUACAAGAAAUAUAAAUUAGUAUUAAUUAUAGUAGUGGAGGAGGUAAGCAGGGAACUGUAAAUUAUAUUUUAAUAGAAGCAUGAGCAGUGGGUAGGGAAUAUAUCAUGGAAGGAUUCAUCCAUGUGGUUUGCAUUUUGAAUUGGGCUUUAAAAACACAAGGAAGUUUAUCAGAUAGAGAAGGGGAAGGACGUUGCAAGCAGAGGAAUCCACAUAAGCUCCAGGAGCCUGCAUACGGGGAACUGUUCAGAAGUGUUCUCGCGUGGGGAGUAGGGACAGCCACCUUUCAUAGCCCAUGUGCUGCCUGAAAUAAAACCUCAAGUGUGCUGGGUUGGCUCUGUUCCUCCGGGGACUUCUGGGCCCUCUUUCCUCUCAGCCUGUCUGCAGUUGGCUUUCUUCCUCAAGGCUCAGCCUGAUCUCAGGGCCGCAGUGAAGACUCCCUAACUGGUGGAGCCCUCGCCACUUAAUUCUCUGCUUUUCCCAAUCCCUGUAGUGCUUAAUUUUUACUGCACAGUUUAGCAGUGAUUAUAUGUUGUCCUGUUAUUUAAUUAUCUCGUCUGUGUAAGUGUACCCAGUUCCGUCCCUCAGGGGAGGGGUGGCAUCUUCCCAUUUUGUGUCCCACAUGGGGCUUAACACAUGCUGUCAGCCCACAAAAUAUAUUUCCACAAUGUCUCUUAACUGCACAUAGCCAAAAGCACCAGACCCUUAUCAUGGGAUGACUGAUUUGAGCAAAAAUGUGUUCAUUCCACGUACAUUCAUUGAGGUCCUGGCCUGUUUGAAGUUAGUUAAAGGGGUUUGAAAGAGAGAAUAAGGUAUCUGCCCCCAUACACAAAAUGGCAUUAUCGCCGGGGGUGGUGGCACACACCCAUCAUCCUAGCAUGUGGUUGAUUGAAGCCAAUGGAUCGUGAGUUCAGAACCAAUCAGAUGCCUCGUAAGACACUGUCAAGGAGGAAGAGGAAAGAAGGAACAUUUUCCCCCAGAAUCUUGGGAAUAUACAGAGACUACUUGAAUGAGAGGUAGUGUGGAGGUAACUGGAAUCCUCCCAUCCAUUCUGUUGUUAGGGCAAACCACGGUAACACUGUUGGGAUGAUACUGACUUUUGUCUUUACUAGAGAUGCCAAGGCCUGAAGCCAUCAGCCAUUUUCUUCUUGGCUGUCACAGUCUGUUUUUGGAUUAUGGCCCAAAGUCAAGUUGAUUCAAUCCUUUUACAAAGGCCAGCUGUUUUCAUUAAGAACCUAUUGUCUAGGUACCUAGUAAAUCACUUCUUGUGAUGUGUAUUCAAGCUAAUGUGUUCUUACAACAGGGGUAGGGUAGACAUUGGUUGUUGCCUUUAUUUUUGGAGACAUUUUAAAUUUAUACUAGUCAAGUUUAUGAGAGUUUAUUCAGUGUUAGAGAAUGCCUAGAGUACUUAACAACUUUUAAAAAAAAUGGAUGUGGCCCAGUAUAGUGGCAUAUGCCUAUAAUCCCAGUACUCAGGAGGCUGAGGGAGGAGGAUUGUCAUGAGUUUGAGGGCAGCAUAGUCUACAUAGUGUGAUAUAGGCAGCCUACGAGAUCCUGACUCAAAACAGCAAAACAGGUCAAAGCAGCUUGUUUUUGCAGUGGGCAGCAGUCAGUGCAGAGAUAAAAACGGACCCAAGUGCUGAGAAGUGACUGAGCGCUCAGCCCUAAAUAAUGAUCAUCUUCCAACCUCCAAGACUUAAGGAAGACUUUCGAAGAGGAGGCAGAAUAUAAGAGCUAGAGGGUGAGGAGGGGUGCUGUGAAAGCUGUCUUCAGGACAUGGCAUGGCUCUCACUUGUGAACUCACGGCAGUUGUGGUUCCCUGCACAAAAUCAAGCCAGCUAAAAUUCUGAUACUGUUGAGAGGUGCUCUCCAGGCCCCACCCCAUAUUUAAGGAGCUGUUGGCAGUUGAUAUCUUCUGGGAGAGGGAAAAUUGUUGUUUGAGGAUGUGGCUGCUGGCGGGCGGGUUUCCCACGCUCCAGGGGAUGGCCCCACAUCCACGCACAUAUGGGCAGCUGAUAUAACUUUAUGUGCUAUCAAAGGAAAAGGAAGACUUGAAGUUGAGAAGGAGAUGUGUUGGAGAGAUCCAGAGGAAGUUGGAGAGGGAAGUGGGGGUGUGUAUGUAUAAGUGUACGCAAUCAUAUUUCAUUGUAUAUAUGUAUGAAAUCCCCAAGAAUAAAGAAGAAUUAUAACAAAACCCUGCCCUCACUGAGGAAGUGAUGUAGUAGGGCGAACAAAGCCAGUAGGCAAUUAAAAUACAGAAUGGCAUUUAGUUAUUUAUUGCAGCAUAGCAAACACUCCAGAUCUUGGUGGCUUAAAACUGUCAUUAUUUCCUUUGGUUCUGUAAAUGGGUGGGACUCAGCUGGGCAAUACUGCUGCUCUCACUUGAAGUCUCAUGAGGUUGUAGUUAGAUGGCAGCUGGAACAGAAGUCAUGAAGACAACCGGAGCCACCGAAAGGCUGGGCGUCUUCUGCAUGUAGUCUCAGGGCCUCUCGACUCCACGCGGCCUCCCCAUCUGGGCAGCUGAGCUUCUUACACAGUGGCUCAGAGUGUCUAAGAGUAGACCUGCCAGGCCCCUCAAAAAUGAGGCCUGGAACCUGCACUGUUUCCCUUCUGCGCUCUGUUGGUUAAAGCAAGUUGGGAGGCCAGCCCCAAAUUAGUGUGGGAGGGGAGACCCCAGAGCGUGACUGGGAAAGUGUGGUUCUUUGGAGACUCGCAGGAUCUACAGUAGGGACUGUGCAGGAGCUCCAUAUAGAUGACAAUUACAACAAUAACAGCUUUCCUCCUCUUUUUUUUCUUCUUUUCCUGCUUUCUUCUCUUCCUCCUCCUCCUCCUGCUGUAUGUAUGCAUGCAGGUGGGUAUGUGUUCCCAGGCACAUGCAUUCAGAGGCCAUAGAAUGACAUGGAGUGUCUUCCUUUAUCACACUCUACCUUAUUCCUGUAAGACGGGGUCUUUCACUAACCCAGAAGCUUCCCGUUUGGGUAGGCUGGCUGGCCAACAAGCAAGCAGGAUCUGCUUGUCUCUGUCACCAUCCCCACAUUGGAACUGUUACAUGCAUGCAUAGCCAUGCACAGCUAUGUACAUGGGUGCUGGAGGUCUGAACUCAGGUCCUCAUGCCAGCACAGCAAACUCUCUUACCCACUAAACCAUGUAUCCAGUCUGCAUGGGUUGACUUCUUUCGAAACUGAGUGAAGAAGGGCCAGAGAUAGAGCUGGGGUGAGGGAAUGUAGCUCAAUUGGAAGAGUGCUUGCCUAGAAUGCAUUAAGACCUGUGCUCAGUUCCCCCAGGACUUCAUAAACAAGGCAUGGUGGUUCAUGCCUGGAGUCCCAGCCCUAGGGAAGUGGAAUCAAGAGGAUCAGAAAUUCAAGGUCAAUUUCAGAUACAUAGCAGAUUGGAGGUCAGCUUAGGAGGCAUGAGACCCUAUCUCAAGAAAAAAAAAAAAAAGUAUGGUAAGGACUAGGGGCGCGCGUGUGCGCGCGCACACACACGCACGCACGCGCGCACACACACGCACACACACACGCACACCCGUGUACCCGCUGUGUGGGAUCGAUUGGGUCCAGGAAAGAGGUCAAGUCCUCAUUGUCACCCUGUCCUUUCUCAGCCAGCAACCUCACAUUUGUCACUGAGAAGGCUGAGUCAUUACCUCAACAUUGGUAUUAGUUCUUUUUGCUUUUUACUAGGUGGAUUUUUUUUCUAAUGCAAACUCCUUUUUACAAAUGUUUUGUUUUGUUUCAUUUAUUUUUAAAAGAACAUUUUGUCAGAAACCUGCUGCCUGGUAGGAACCUGGACAUGGGGUUGGUCAGGUGGUUAAACAAUUUAUACUUGGGUGUGAAGUGUGCUGAGGAAGAACCUGCUGGCAAGGAGCAAGGAGCAUGCCAUUGACCUCUCAGAUAAAAAGAUAUAUGAAAUUGAAAUUAUCUUUUCAUUACCAAUGAAAAGGUAAUGUAGAAGAGGGCAAAGAAGGUCGUUAAAAGAGUUUCUACUCUAGUAAAAAGUCAAAUAGUACUAAAGGGUUAUAUCAAAAUGCAGCAGACCUCUGCUACAUGCUCCCUACCCUCCAGUCCGGCUCCCUGGGGGCGGCCAUUUUCAACUCUUUGAAGUGUCAGGAAGCAGCGCAGAAGAGCAGGAGUUGUGUGACAUCAACACAGUGCUCCCACUGACUGCCUGGUUAUCUUGGACAGGUUAAUUAUUAUCCUUUCCCUUAGUUCUCUUAUCUGCAUCAUGGGACUAAGGAAAGUAGUACCCUUAUGAGAAAACACAAUGAGUGGGGACUCCAUGUGACGGUGAGGAUGAUGAUCAGUGAGUGGGGACUCCAUGUGACAGUGAGGAUGAUGACCAUCAAUGAGUGGGGACUCCAUGUGUCAGUGAUGAUGAUCAGUGAGUGGGGACUCCAUGUGACAGUGAUGAUGAUGACCAUCAAUGACUGGGGACUACAUAUGAUGGUGAUGAUGAUGAUUAUGACCAUCAAUGAGUGGGGACUCCAUGUGACAGUGAUGAUGAUGACCAUCAAUGAUGGGGACUACAUAUCAUGGUGAUGAUAAUGAUGAUCAAUGAGUGGUGACUACAUGUGACGGUGAUGAUGAUGGUGAUCAGUGAGUGGGGACUACAUAUGAUGAUGAUGGAGGAGGAGGAGGAGAAGAGAACUUGAGAGCCACUGUGAACAUACCUGGACAUUAGUCACACACCAUACAAAUAAAUACAGGGCACAGUUGUGACUUGGAGGACGUGACAAGAACCCAGACCCAGUUGGAGAAGUUUGAGCUUCUCCUUUGUUCUAAGCCCAACUGUUUGUUCUUAGUCCCAUCCCUCUCCUGUCUCUUCUACAACCUUGCCACUGUAAGUAUCCUGAUCCUCAUAUCAAAGCCUUCAUCUCUUCACUGAGUCUUUGCUUUCUGCCAAUGAAAUGUGCACGGGUCUUUCCUAUCUUGGUCAAGUCUUUUAGCUGGUCCUCCUGCUUCUUCAGUUAUCAGUCUGUUUCUUUGUCUCCACCCCCACAUUUCUCAACACGAAUGCUGCCUCUUGUUUCUGUAGGAAUCCCUGACUUCAGCCUUGUCAUCCACUUCCAUCUCUGUCUGUCUGCUGCACUGGGCACUAGGGCCCUCAGAGCCCAUCUCAUUAGCCGCCAGGGUACAUUUGGACCCAGAGUAUUUGACUGGGUUGGCCACAUUACUCCUUCAAUCUUACCUACAAAGACUCACCAUCCCGCUUCCCUAUUUCUGUGUUUCUCCAAGUGAUCCAGGAAAGCAGCCUUGAACUCCAGAUUGGAUCAGCUCCCUUCUCCAGUCCUCCUCAUGUUAGUUUGGACUGUCAUUGUAAAUACUGAAAACUCACCGAAGCUAGCAUCUGUUGCAUCAGAAUCUGGAGGGGUGGGGGUGGGGACCUAAGGAGUACCAAUAGCCGGAGCCUAAGAAAGAUAAAAAAUGUGGGUUCAGGAGCCAACCGAGUGAGCCCCUCCACAGACUGCCUUAUGGGUUUCUUGUGAUCUGUACAGACACCCCAAAGGUGUCAGACACUCCCACACCUAGCUGAUCCCCAGGUCGUGCAGAAAUCACCCUCUUGCAUCAGGUGCUUGAAUGUGUCUGUCCAACUUCCCCUGAGAUGUCCCCACCUUGUUAGCUUUCCUCCGCUGCCUUUGUUUCUGUGAAAUGGGGUCCUUAGUACAGUGAUUGGCACACAGGAAGGCCUCAGUGAAUGGUGACAAGGGUCAGUCUUGCCAUUGUUCUCUUUCCUGCCUGUCAGUCCGAGCCCACCUUCUAGCUACUUCGGUUAGAAGUUCUGCUGCAACCUCAGAUCCACCUUUCAGAGUUCUCCAGAUACCUGAGGCUGGGCAUGUGGCUCAACUGGUAGAAUGCUUGGUAGCAUGCACAAAGCUGAGUUCACUCCUCAGCACUGAAUAAAACUGAGUGAGGUAUCUCAUACCUGUGACGCAAGCACUUGGGAGGUGGAGGCAUGAGGGUCCCAAGUUCCAUCUUGUCCUCCACUACAUAGCAAAUUCAAGGCUAGACUGGCUACAUGAGACUCUAUCUUAAUUUUAAGAGGGGAGGAGGGCUGGAAAGAUGGCUCAGCAGUUAAGAGCACUCAUUUCUACAGAGGACCCAGGUUCAGUUCCCAGCACCCACAUGGUGGCUCACAAUCAUCCGUAACACUCUGGCACAUAGACAUACGUAAGGGCAAAAUACUCAUAUACAUAAAAUAAAUCUAUGUAAAAUUUUUUAAUGAUUUGUUUUUAUUUUAUGUACAUUGGUGUUUUGCCUGCAUGUGUGUCUGUGUGAGGGCUUUGGACCCCCCUGGAACUGGAGCUAUAGACAGCUGUGAGUUGAUAUGUGGGUGUUGGGAAUUGAAUCUCGAUCCUCUGGAAGAGCAGCUGGUGCUCUCAACCACUGAGCCAUCUCUCCAGCCCCUAAAAUAUUUCUUUUUAAAGUAAGAAAUAAAGGCUGGCAAGAGGGCUCAGCAGGUAAAAACUCUUGCCACCAAACCUUACAAGCAGGAUUCUAUCCCUGGGACCCACGAGGUAGAAAGAGAGAAGCUACUCCUACAAGCUACCCUCUGACCUUGCUGCAUGUGUUAUGGUGUGCACACUCACACAAUAAAUGUGAUUUAAGGAAAUAAAGGAAUUUCAGAUAUGGAGGAGGAUGCAGGCUUCGGAGUGCUGGGGGAUGGGGAAAUUUGAAAAAGCUGGGUGAUCUCAUCAGCUCCUUGAAGAAACCCCUGUCUGGCUUGAGCCAGGCCUCAGCUCAGAAGACCCUGAAGCAGGAUUCCCUCCCUGCUCCCAAAGCCUGUGGAUCUAGGUGUGGCUGCCGUUGAAGAGCAGCAUAGAGGAUGCGAAUCCAGUCUUUAACAAGCUGGGGAUGCUGAGAGAUGUAGCAAGAUCUGCAGCGCCUGCAGGAGGUGAGAGGUGAGAGCAGCACCCUCAGGGCAGUGUGCCAGGCUCAGACUGGGGCCUUCCCCAAGGGCUGGCAGCCAGAAGCCAGAGGUGCUCCCGAUUCUGCUGAGCACUUGUAGGUCCUCUCUGCACCCUUGAGAGCAUUUCUCAUUAGGCUCUAUGUGGGAGCAGGGUGUCUGGCUUCCUUGGGUCCAACAACCGUGCUCUCCCCUCCUGCUCCUGGGUGGUGGCUCCCCUGCCUCUGGACUGCAGCUCCCACUCCUACCGGCACAGAACUGGGGGUGGAGCAGCCUCACAGCUGUUUGCUCCCAGGCAGCAUGGCUAAGUAGUUCACAGCUCUGGCUCUGAGUCAGAACCCGCCCAUUUCAAUCCCUCUGCUGCCAUUACUAUCUUUGUGGCCCUGGGCGACUUAACUCCGUUAUGCUUCAUCUGUGCAGCAGGGCUAAUGAUAGACCUUCAUAUUGGCCCUGAGCUUUGCUAUGAUAAUGCAGAGAAGGCACUCAGCUUGGUCCACCUCUGCCUCCUGGAGCCGAGGGCCCUGUUCUUGUUCUUUCUCUCUUUUUAAAUUGUAUUUAUUUUAUGUACGUUGGUGUGAAGGUGUCAGAUCUCCUGGACAGUCGUGAGCUGCCAUGUGCAUGCUGGGAGUUGAAUUCCUCUGGAAGAGCAGCCGGUGCUCCCAGCUGCUAAGCAUCUCUCCGGUCCCCGCCCUGUUCCUAUGGAACAGCUAGCCCCCUGCCUCAGCACUCUGCUGUCUCUCUCCCUCCCAUCUGUGUUGCCCUGUGUUCACAUGUCCAUCUCCACCUUUAGGCCAGGGCACCACUAGGUCCAAGAUAACAUUGCAUGUGUCUGUGUUCUUGGUGCCCAGCACAGGGCCUGGCCUGUUGGACAAUAGGAAUAUGAAUUCACUGUGGGAAGGAGUUGGUGAGGCCGUAAAAGAAGACCCAGAAGACGGAGACUGGAGUGGCUCGGCAGUUCGGAGUACGAGCUGCCUUUGCAGAAGACCUGGAUUUGGUUCCAAGCUCCCACAACUUCACAACUCCAGGGUAUCUGACACAUUCUUCUGGCCCCCAGGGGCACCAGACUCCCACAUGGUGCACAUACACACAGGCAGCGAAGAAAAAGAAGCCAGGAAUAGUGGUGUGCGCAUUUCAUUCCAGCACUCUGGAGGCAGAGGCAGGCAGCUCUCUGUAAAUUCUAGGCUAGCCUGGUUUACGCAGUGAGACCCUGUCUGAAGAAGAGGAGGUGGAGGAAGAGGAGUUGGGAGGAGGGGGGAGAGGAGGGAGGAGGAGAGAGAUAGAAGGGGAGUGGUUGGAGAGGAGUCAUCCUGUCCUCAGAAUUCCAUCUGGUUUUAGUGGCCCACCUUCCACUCUGGUCUUUUACUGCACUUCAAGAAUCUAUUGUCACUGGCUUGGCCUGGGGGCCAAGAAUACUGCAAGGACCACAAUAGAUUGGGCUACUGACAUUAUGGAGCAAAAUACCAGAUUUAUGGACAUUAAGCAUAUAACCAAGUUAAGGAUACAUUUCAUCCAGGAACCUUGCAAGGAAGGAGAAGCCCAGGCUAGAACAGAGCACAUUUUGGGAACGGGGGAGGCAGUAAGAGUUUCCUGGGUGAUGUGAAGGGUAGGCUGUAUUGAAGCAGAAGAUGAAAAAGAACCUUCCACAGAAGGCCUCAGGCAGAAGGGAACCGGGCUGUUGGGCAAAAGAUAAGGUUAGCACAGCUGUAGCCGAGCGAUGGGAUGGGUCAAGACCUCUACAAGGCUGCAGAGCUGCAUCCUGCAGAUCCACAAGGAGAGAUGUACGCCUCUGUCCUAAUGAUAAUAGCUCACAUUUAUUCAAUUUUGUGUAUAUGUAUACUGUGCUAAGCACCUUGUGUGCUUUUGUCGUUUACCACCCACAGUCCUCUAGGAGCCUGUUACCGUUAUUCCCACGCUGCCUCAGUAAGGUAAAUCUGCUCAAAGGCGAUCAGCAGGCUGUAGUAGCUAGGAUUUGAAUCCAGACAUCGGGGACCCAGCACCUUCUCUCCUAACCCUUGGGUGGUCCAGCCAAAGAGCUAAAUGAACAUCUCGACCGCACUCCUCAGCAGCCCUGGCCCCGGCAGGUCAGGCAUGAGCUCCCUGGCUGCGGGGUUGACCUGGAGAAGCUGUCACAGAAUCGCCGACCUGGACUUCCACCCGCGUGGGACGCGACCGCAGUGCGGAGGACGCUACCUGAAAGAUGGAGAAAACGACACCAAGAAUCCAUUCUAAACGAACAACCAAGAGGAGAUGGCAGCUCCCAGAUGUUGAUGUUUUGUUUUUUGACAUAAAUCUUCGCACUCA